UGAUGCCCUACUGCACAGUCCUGUGAUGACUGACUGCUCAACUGCACAGUACUGUGAUAACUGAUCGCCUAACUG